ANGCAGUCGACGANNACUGGAGCUUGCUCCAGGGAUUAGUGGCGAACGGGUGAGUAACACGUGAGUAACCUGCCCUUGACUCUGGGAUAAGCGCUAGAAAUGGCGUCUAAUACCGGAUACGAGCUUCAGCCGCAUGGCUAGGAGUUGGAAAGAAUUUUGGUCAAGGAUGGACUCGCGGCCUAUCAGCUAGUUGGUGAGGUAAUGGCUCACCAAGGCGACGACGGGUAGCCGGCCUGAGAGGGUGACCGGCCACACUGGGACUGAGACACGGCCCAGACUCCUACGGGAGGCAGCAGUGGGGAAUAUUGCACAAUGGGCGAAAGCCUGAUGCAGCAACGCCGCGUGAGGGAUGACGGCCUUCGGGUUGUAAACCUCUUUUAGUAGGGAAGAAGCGAAAGUGACGGUACCUGCAGAAAAAGCACCGGCUAACUACGUGCCAGCAGCCGCGGUAAUACGUAGGGUGCAAGCGUUGUCCGGAAUUAUUGGGCGUAAAGAGCUCGUAGGCGGUUUGUCGCGUCUGCUGUGAAAUCUGGGGGCUCAACCCCCAGCCUGCAGUGGGUACGGGCAGACUAGAGUGCGGUAGGGGAGAUUGGAAUUCCUGGUGUAGCGGUGGAAUGCGCAGAUAUCAGGAGGAACACCGAUGGCGAAGGCAGAUCUCUGGGCCGUAACUGACGCUGAGGAGCGAAAGCAUGGGGAGCGAACAGGAUUAGAUACCCUGGUAGUCCAUGCCGUANACGUUGGGAACUAGAUGUGNNGGCCNUUCCACGGUCUCCNNGUCGCAGCUAANG
rnacentral:rRNA from 1 species